rnacentral:lncRNA from 1 species
CCAAACUGAGAAUGAGUGAGGAGUUCAGUUCUGAUCACAGAAAUUUGCACAGAGAGUUAUUUCACCAUUAUUCCAGUUUGCCUUUGGACUGAUAUUCAACUUUCUCUCUUUUUGGGACUUAUUUGCCAAAAUACAGGGAGAAAAAAUGGAGAGUUUCACCUUAUUUUGGAGGUUCAGGAUGUUUAGGAGGGAUUCAGGCAAGCACCCCCACUCUCCCAUCACUCAGAUCAGACUUUUGGCAUUUUUAAUUUUUUUUCCCAUCAUUUCUUGUAGCCUGAUAAAACCCCUCCUGAAUUCAUGGGAAUUUCAAGUGUUCCCUGAACCUUCCCUGCCAACAUAUUGUUUUUUGAACUCAGCUAUCAGUGUAAGCAGAAAAAAAAAAAAACAAGCCUAAAAAUGAAAAUAAACAAAUUAUCUCACUUUCCUUUUAGCCCAUUGCUUGGGAAAGAGUGUGAAUUGUUUCAAAUUGACACAGCAAUCCUGAAUAAUCACUGAUGCUGAAUAUCCUGGUGAUCAAUAUCCUCUUCACCCAACCACAUUAUCUAACCAGAUACCUACACAGGGACUACUGGGUUUUGUGCUGCGGACGGCGGCGCCGGGCGCUGAGCGCUGGCGGAGAGCGAUGGCCGGGGAAGGUCGGGGACAAGCGGAGCCCCGGUAAGGAGCCCCGGAGCGAGGGACGGGAUGCGACGGGGACAAGAAACAGGGACGGGACAGGGACAGGAGACGGGGACAGGGACAAGAAACGGGGACAGGGACAAGAGACGGGGACAAGAGACGGGGACUGGGACAACAGACGGGGACAGGGACAAGAGACAGGGAGACGGGGACAGGGACAAGAAACGGGGACAGGGACAAGAGACGGGGACUGGGACAAGAGGCAGGGACAGGGACAAGAGUCAGGGAGAAGAGACGGGGACUGGGACAAGAAACGGGGACUGGGACAAGAGGCAGGGACAGGGACAAGAGGCAGGGACAGGGACAAGAGACGGGGACAGGGACAAGAGACGGGGACUGGGACAAGAGGCAGGGACAGGAUGGGGCGCACCGCCUGGGUUUGCUGCCAGGUGCGAGGCUAGUGCUGCGGGUCCCCUCUCCAUCCCCCUGGGAGAUGGGGCUGCAGUCACCGCACCGGCCUCCUCUGCUUUCCUCCCCCC